GACGAACGCUGGCGGCGUGCUUAACACAUGCAAGUCGAACGGAAAGGCCCUGCUUUUGUGGGGUGCUCGAGUGGCGAACGGGUGAGUAACACGUGAGUAACCUGCCCUUGACUUUGGGAUAACUUCAGGAAACUGGGGCUAAUACCGGAUAGGAGCUCCUGCUGCAUGGUGGGGGUUGGAAAGUUUCGGCGGUUGGGGAUGGACUCGCGGCUUAUCAGCUUGUUGGUGGGGUAGUGGCUUACCAAGGCUUUGACGGGUAGCCGGCCUGAGAGGGUGACCGGCCCCAUUGGGACUGGGAUACGGCCCAGACUCCUACGGGAGGCAGCAGUGGGGAAUAUUGCACAAUGGGCGGAAGCCUGAUGCAGCAACGCCGCGUGCGGGAUGACGGCCUUCGGGUUGUAAACCGCUUUCGCCUGUGACGAAGCGUGAGGGACGGUAAUGGGUAAAGAAGCACCGGCUAACUACGU
rnacentral:rRNA from 1 species